GACUCGUCCACUUUGUCACCGACCGUGGUAGGAGCGGGAGUGAUUGCUAGUUUAGAGUUUGGAUGGUAAUUAGAGGACGUGACGUUUUGACCAAGUUCAGUGUUAACUUUUUUUCGAAACCCUUUCCCUUAGAUCGUGAGGUGCUACAAAUCACCGACAGAGUAGGCUAGUUAGUUUGGCAAGGUAGAAUCGUGGAUUGUUGGCGAAACAAGUCCAGACUAGUUGGCCAGGUACUCUAUCCGGCGUCUUCGAAAUCUGCUGCUGCGCUACAACCCAUCCGUUUCGAACGUCCGUCGGAGAAACCCGCCGUACCACACCCGGUGGCAAAAAGACCAAGUCAAGUCGCCACGUGCCGGAAGAAGCGUGACGUCACCAACGCGCUUAAGGUCAUCCCGUCGGGUCCAACACGUCCAUCCGGACCACGUGGGAGAUCAUCGAGGAACGACAACUUCCGGAACCGAACCCGGAUCUGCUGAACGACCGUCGGGGAUUCCCGACGCCGCUGCUGUAACAACCAACAACAGGUCAGACCGUGAGUAGUACCAAAAUCCAUGCGCAUGUGAUCACAGCCCCUGAGGGUACCCCAUGAAAAGCGCGCCGCGCCAAAUGAACACGCACACGUAAAGCACGCAGCCCAAAACGUGCACUUGGGCGGAUAGGUAGGGAAAGGGAAGAGAGACAGGUUAGCCGAGACGGCUAAGGCGCCAGUAGGAAGAUGAACACGAAUUUACCGAAGAAGCUUGGAAGCGAGAUGGUCGCAGUUCGAAUCCCGUCGGGAUCAAACCGUUUUUUUGUGAACACCCCCACGAUGUAAAUACACUUCGAUCGAAAUGAACAGUUUUCUGCAGUUUGAGCAAUAAAAAGCGACCAGGAGGUUUUCACUGGGUUUUGGGAUAAA